GGUUACACUGUCUCCUUUUUCUAAUCAGUGAAACUAAUCUUCCCGUGAAGAAGCGGGAAUAUCCCCAUAAGACGAGAAGACCCCAUGGAGCUUCAAACCCAAUUACACCCCUAACCCCUAUAACUACUUAACCCUUAGGAUUCUGUAUUAUUGGUUUUAGGUUGGGGCGACCACGGAGUACAACAAAACCUCCACAAUGAACGGAACUACUUCCUCAUCUGAGAGCUACACCUCUAAGAAUUAAAAUAUUAACAUAAAAUGAUCCAUUUUUGAUCAAUGAACCAAGUUACCCUGGGGAUAACAGCGCAAUCCAUUUCAAGAGCCCCUAUCGACAAAUGGG
rnacentral:rRNA from 1 species